CGGCCGAAUCAGUAACUUGGUUACAGCAGGGCAUCGAUAUUGAGUAUGUAUAGGUAGAAGAUCAGAGAUGACAGGGGAGAUAAAGGUUCUGUCAAACAUAGUGACUAGCACUUUUGAUCAUUUUGUUAUUACUGGUCGCAAUAGGUGAAAUUUAUUACAGAAAAGUUGAAUUAGUGUCGGAAUUAAAGAACCUGAUCGGAAUUUCUUUUCACAUACGGGUCAGAAUUUGUUGCACGAAGUUGUAUUAACCCAGAUAUCGCUGGUUGGACAUCAAGGCAAUUGAGAGCCAGUGGUGCUUCCCGAAACACCUGGAAACCCAUGUAUAGUUGCCGAACCCAGAACGGUCUAAAAACUCAUCCCACGGUAGAACACCAAAACUGUGAGUCACACCUUUGUAACACUAUCGAUCCUAACCAAUAACUCAAUAAAAUCAUUCUAGCUUAAAGCGUUCAACCCUAAUAUAAGUGUUUGCUACAAAGAUUUGGUGACCGACCGUACAAGUGCCGUCCGUCAAUCAGAACAUGGUCGAUUUCUGAUUCCGUCUGCUGUGGUGGGUGUCUGGCCAUUUGGCCGAAUUAUGAUCAAAAGAAUUCAGAGGAAGUUUUUGACAGUCUAGAUCUUCACAAAUAUUUCCAUCUUUUAAUCAUAGGCUAUUCUUUCUAGUUUUGACAUUUUGUGAUUAAUUGGCGUUGAAACUGCCAAUAUUUUAUCAAAUAUUUUUCCUUCUUUGAAUCAUAGGCUGUUUUUUCGAGGCGUAAUCAAUGAGUCGUAUGCCGUUUUCGUUCGUUUGCUGGUGGGAGCUGAAGUUACCAAUCGUCGGUCUGAAUUCCUCCUCCUGGCCUACCUGAGCGUUCAAAUCUCCUACGAUGAUCUUGACGUCGUGGCUUGGGCAGCGAUCGUAGUCGCGUUCGAGGUGCGCGUAGAAUACGUUCUUGUCAGCAUCAGUGAUUCCGAAGUGAGAAUUGUGCAUGUUGAUUAUGCCGAAGUUGAAGAAUCGGCCCUUGAUUUUCACCCUGCACAUUCUUUCGUCGAUCGACUACCAACCGAUCACGCGCCUCUGCAUAUCGCCCAUAACGAUGAAAGUUGUACCCAUGUCCCGUGUGUUGCCAUAGUUCUGGUAGAUGGUAUAUGAUUACCUCUAAACAUUCGCACCGUUGAUCCUGUUCAACACACUACGAUCCCGAACCUGCGGUCCUUCAGUAGAUCGGUGAGUAUGCAGUUGCUCCCGCACAUACCGAGUUUCCAGCCCCUAAGGGGCCAUCCAUUAAGUACGCCACGGUUCUAGGGGAGAGAGGGGGUUUGUGAAAGUGUGACAAGUCAUGUAUCAAGUAUUGCUCGUGCAGUUGAAAAUCGGAAUUUUUGACACGCGAAAAUCGAUGUUUCUCCUAAACCGUGUGUCGGAUGUACGUCGGGCAAAGUGCGCUGGAUAGAGGGUCAGGUCCGCUGUCCAGCGCACUACGUCCGACGUUAGGUUUCACGUAUGAAUUUUGAAAAAAAUCGAUUGUCGGGUGUGGGGAAACUUCGGGUUUCAACCGCGACGACAAUAUAGGAAAAACCUAUACGAAGA